GUAAGGGCAUGCGGUGGAUGCCUUGGCGCCAGGGGCCGAUGAAGGGCGCGGCACACUGCGAAAAGCCUCGGGGAGCCGUGUGCGGGCGCGAUGACCCGGGGGUGCCCGAAUGGGGAAACCCGCCUGGGGUGAACCCCAGGCAUCCGUGGCUGAAUCCAUAGGCCACGGAGGGGCACGGGGGGAACUGAAACAUCUUAGUACCCCCAGGAAAAGAAAUCAACCGAGAUUCCCCUAGUAGUGGCGAGCGAACGGGGAAGAGCCCAAACCCACAGGGUGUUAAAGCCCGAGGGCGUUGCCCUGUGGGGGUUGUGGGACCUAUCCGGGGGCGGCCUCGGACGCCUCAGGGAGUUACCAAGCCUUGGCCUAGCCGAAGCGGUCUGGAAAGGCCCGCCAUAGAGGGUGAUAGCCCCGUAGGCGAAAGGUCGAAGGCCUCCCGGGGAUGGGAUCCCGAGUACCACGGCCCACGUGGAAGGUCGUGGGAAGCAGGGGGGACCACCCUCCAAGGCUAAAUACCCCUGGCGACCGAUAGCGCACCAGUACCGUGAGGGAAAGGUGAAAAGAACCCCGGUGAGGGGAGUGAAAUAGAACCUGAAACCGCAUGCCUACAAGCGGUCCGAGGGCUAUGGCCCCUUUGGGGGCAAUGCCUGAGGGCGUGCCUUUUGGAGAAUGAGCCGGCGAGUUACUCUCGGUGGCGAAGGCUAAGGGGGUCACACCCGGAGCCGGAGCGAAAGCGAGUCCGAACAGGGCGUCUCGUCGCCGGGAGUAGACGCGAAACCGGGUGAGCUACCCAUGGCCAGGGUGAAGCGGGGCUAAUCCCCCGUGGAGGCCCGAACCCAUCACCAGUGCAAAGGUGUGGGAUGAGCUGUGGGUAGGGGUGAUAUGCCAAUCGAACCCGGAGAUAGCUCGUUCUCCCCGAAAUAGCUUUAGGGCUAGCCUCACGCGGUCCGUGGCGGAGGUAGAGCACUGGUAGGGCUAGGGGCGUUAUGCUACCGAACCCUGUCAAACUCCGAAUGCCGCCACGUGCAGCGUGGGAGUCGGACCGUGGGGGAUAACCUCCAUGGUCGAGAGGGGAACAACCCAGACCGCCUGCUAAGGCCCCCAAGUCCGGGCUCAGUGGGAAAGGAUGUGGGGCUGCUAUGACAGCCAGGAGGUUGGCUUAGAAGCAGCCAUCCUUUAAAGAGUGCGUAACAGCUCACUGGUCGAGCGGCCCUGCGCCGAAAAUGUAACGGGGCUUAAGCCCGGCGCCGAAGCAGCGGGUUCUCGUGCCGAUGAGGCACGGGAGCGGUAGGGGAGCGUUCCGCACGCGUGGAAGCGCGACCGUGAGGACGCGUGGAGCGUGCGGAAGUGAGAAUGCCGGCACGAGUAGCGGAAGACGCGUGAGAACCGCGUCCGCCGAAGGCCUAAGGUUUCCGACGCAAGGUCGAUCCGCGUCGGGUUAGGCGGGACCUAAGGCGAGGCCGAAAGGCGUAGCCGAUGGACAGCCGGUUAAUAUUCCGGCCCCACCCGGGUGGAGCGAAGGGGGGACGCAGGAGGGUAGGCCAGCCGGCCGCUGGCUGUGCCGGUGCCAAGUCCUUAGGGCGAUGAAGGCGGUAGGCAAAUCCGCCGCCGGAGCCUGAGGGAUGAUGGCGAGCCGGGGAAACCCGGCGGAAGUGGUCGAGCCCACACUGCCGAGAAAAGCCUCUAAGCGUUGAAGCCCGGGUGCCCGUACCGCAAACCGACACCGGUAGGCUGGCGUAAGCGCGCCAAGGCGGACGGGAGAACCCUCCUCAGGGAACUCGGCAAACUGACCCCGUAACUUCGGGAGAAGGGGUGCCUCGCGUAGGGUGAGGCCUUCGGGCCGAGCCCGAGGAGGCCGCAGUGAACAGGCCCUGGCGACUGGUUACCUAAACCACAGGUCUCUGCUAACCCGUAAGGGGAAGUAUAGGGGCCGACGCCUGCCCAGUGCCGGAAGGUUAAGGGGAGGGGUGACCCGGCUUCGGCCGGUGUAGCCCUGAACUGAAGCCCCGGUGAACGGCGGCCGUAACUAUAGACCGGACCGCUGUAGUUACGUAAAUAAACCCGGCUAUAUGCUGGGAAGUCCGUCCCCUAACAGGGGUGAAGGAUCCGGCGGUACCUAACGGCUGCAUGCCGUUGGGUAACAAUCCGUCCGGUGCGGACCAUCAGCAGGAAAGGCUCCCUGGGUUGCCUUUCCGGAGGAAGGAGUGAUGCCUCUGGACGUGAGACAUAUCCCUCCUCACAUCGGUUACUACUUGACGGGGUUUGCCGAUGGUGAGGGAAGCUUCAACGUUACAUUUCGGCGCCGCCGAGACUACCGGAUGCCAUGGAAGGUGUCCCUCUGCUUCAAUGUGAGUAAUCGAGAUAGAGUUAUCCUUGCCCUCUUCAAGCGCUAUCUCCAAUGUGGCACGUUACGGCAACGGGGAGACGGGGUCUGGUACUAUGAGGUCAACGACUUCAAUGCGAUCCUGGGCCACGUCAUCCCCUUCUUCGAGCGGUUUCCUUUCCUAUCUGCGAAGAAGCGGCGAGACUUCUCGAAGUUCAAGGAAAUCGCCAAAAUCAUGGAAGAAGGACGUCACAACACAGAAGAGGGCGUUCGGGAAAUCUUGCGCAUCCGGCGAGAGAUGAACGACGGUGGCGCUGGGAGGCGAAAGUAUAGCGAUGAAGAAAUCCUCCGGACUCUCACCCAGGGAGAAUCCUCAGAGACCAUACGCCGGGCACCCGAGGGGUAUGCAAGCGCCGCCCGCCCCAUCGGGUGAAGAGAUGGUCCGAUCUCCGUGGCGACACGGAGGGCCUGAGCACCUGCUCGGGCCGCACCAGACGGGGCAUCCAGACCCGUUUGCUGGUGUAACGGAAUGAACGGUCCUAAGGUAUCGCCUGAAAGGCGCUGCCUGCCUGUCGGGUAACCGACAGGGCAAUGCCC
rnacentral:rRNA from 1 species